rnacentral:rRNA from 1 species
UACGUAGGGUGCGAGCGUUAAUCGGAAUUACUGGGCGUAAAGCGUGCGCAGGCGGUUUUGUAAGUCAGAUGUGAAAGCCCCGGGCUCAACCUGGGAAUGGCAUUUGGGACUGCAAGGCUUGAGUGCGGCAGAGGAGACUGGAAUUCCUGGUGUAGCAGUGAAAUGCGUAGAUAUGCGGAGGAACACCGAUGGCGAAGGCAAUCCCCUGGGCCUGCACUGACGCUCAUGCACGAAAGCGUGGGGAGCAAACAGG